AUAGCCCGAAAUACCACCACUCUUGUCGAAAUUACAAAUUGACCCCUCAAAACUCUCUCGCACGCAUCUUCGCAGCCCUGUCCAGAAAUGGAAGUGAUGACGCUCCACUGACGAAUUGUCACCCACGAAGCAGCGUCGACAUUUUUCUUUUUUCUCUCCAAAUUAGAAUUCCAUCAUUCCGUACAAGUCCAUGACUCAAAAGCUCUGGUCUCAGUUCUUAGUCCCAUAGCCUUCGAAGCACACAAAUUCACCACUCCAAAACAGAAAUAGGCAGAGAGUUAUGGUCCUUCCAGCGGUAAAGUUAGCAACCCUUGCCCUCAAAACCAUCUCCAAACCCAUUGCGAAUCGGCUCAAGCGAGAGGCUGGCUUGCACCCGCGAUUUAGGCAGUUCAUCGUUAACAUUGCCCAGGCAAAUCAUCGAUUUACAACAAAUGUGCAAAGACGGAUUUAUGGUCAUGCAACUGAUGUUGCAAUACGCCCACUGAACGAGGAGAAAGCUGUCCAAGCUGCUGCAGAUCUUCUCGGGGAGCUCUUUGUGUUCACGGUUGGAGGCGCUGCAGUUAUUUUUGAAGUGCAAAGAAGCUCAAGAUCAGAAGCAAGAAAGGAGGAGCUACGUAGACAGGAAUUAGAGGCAAUGAGACAAAGAGAUGAAGAUUUAGCAAGAGAAGUUGAGCUGCUGAAGAAAAAACUUGAAGAGCUGGAACAACUUGCCAAAGGACGAGGAAUUGCUGGAUUUUUCAACUUCAGGAAUGCUCAAGGCCCUGAGAAUGGAAAGGCUAAAAUCCCAGUUUGAUCACAGCAAAAAUGAAGUACAGCACGUAGUAUUACUGUAAGAACCAACCCAACUUGAUUUAUACUUGCUCAUUCUCUUCCGGAGUGGCUUGGCCGGUUGUAUUUGCAUGUAUUUCGCAAACCUUCGAGGACAAUUUUUGCAGAAAAUCAGCAAGAUCCACAAAACUGAAGCCCUUCAACUAAUGGCAAUGAUACUUACAAGGCAAGCUCACACAAAUCUGGAUUAUAACUCACACUGCAAAGAUAGCAUUUCAGGAUUUAGUGAUAUUAUUUGUGGACUCAUCUGAGACUAGUUAAGUAGUUGUGACUUUGAUACGAGCCAAACAAUUAAAAACC